rnacentral:rRNA from 1 species
GGUCAAGUUAUUAAGGGUGCAGGGCGGAUGCCUUGGCACUAGGAGCCGAUGAAGGACGUGAUAAGCUGCGAUAAGCUUCGGGGAGUUGCACGUAAACUUUGAUCCGAAGAUUUCCGAAUGAGGAAACUCACUUAGAGUAAUGUCUAAGUAUCAUUAAGUGAAUACAUAGCUUAAUGAGGGGAACUCAGGGAACUGAAACAUCUAAGUACCUGAAGGAAGAGAAAGAAAUUCGAUUCCGUAAGUAGCGGCGAGCGAACGCGGAUUAGCCCAAACCAAUAAAGUUUUCUUUACUGGGGUUGCGGACAUAUCAUAACGAAGAGGUAUCGUAAUUGAAGAGGUUUGGAAAGACCCACCACAGAAGGUAAUAGUCCUGUAUGUUAAACGAGAAGACUUCAGAUAUGAUCCAGAGUACCACGGGACACGUGAAACCCUGUGGGAAGCAGGAGGGACCACCCUCCAAGGCUAAAUACUACCUAGUGACCGAUAGCGU